rnacentral:rRNA from 1 species
AUUGAACGCUGGCGGCAGGCCUAACACAUGCAAGUCGAGCGAGCGGCGGACGGGUGAGUAAUGUCUGGGGAUCUGCCCGAUAGAGGGGGAUAACUACUGGAAACGGUGGCUAAUACCGCAUACCAUCAGAUGUACCCAUAUGGGAUUAGCUAGUUGGUGGGGUAAAGGCUCACCAAGGCGACGAUCCCUAGCUGGUCUGAGAGGAUGAUCAGCCACACUGGGACGGAGACACGGUCCAGACUCCUACGGGAGGCAGCAGUGGGGAAUAUUGCACAAUGGGCGCAAGCCUGAUGCAGCCAUGCCGCGUGUAUGAAGAAGGCCUUAGGGUUGUAAAGUACUUUCAGCGGGGAGGCGUUACCCGCAGAAGAAGCACCGGCUAACUCCGUGCCAGCAGCCGCGGUAAUAC